rnacentral:lncRNA from 1 species
CCGUGAGUGACACGCGGCGUCACGCGUGUGCGACGUGGCGUCAUGCGUGCUGUGCGUGGGACGUGUGUCGUCACGUGUGUCAUACGUGGCGUGUGUGACGUGUGUCGUCACAUGUGUGUCAUACGUGGCGUGUUCUCCCUUUCUCACAUGCGUGCUCUCCCUCACACACACGCAUGCUC